ACACCCUCAAGCUAUGCUUGGUGUUGGGCGUCUGUCCCGCCUCCGUGCGCGGACUCGCCUCAAAGUCAUUGGCAGCGGUCUCGUCGGCUUCUCGCGCAGCACAUUUGCGCUUCUCGGAGCCCCGGCGGAUCAGCGUCCAGCAAGCAAUUUCAUG
rnacentral:misc_RNA from 1 species